CAAGGAUCAAGCCAGGAUAGAAAACUGUCCUUUGGUUAUGACAGUAUAUGUCGUCGAUGAUCACAUGAGAAUGUUUUCUCUUGAACAUGCAGCAGAAACAAGAUUCCGGUGUGGGGAAAAGUAAAUGGGACUUGUUUAAACAGAGUAUGAGGAGUUGCUUUCACGAAGUUUGGCUGUGAAGAGGAGGAAAAGGAGAGCCAGGGUGCUGCUGGAAGGAGGCUGAGGUCUUUGUAUCAAGCAGCCAGCUAGGCAGAAAGUGAAAAGGAAUUGCUGAGUGCAGAGGAAAUAGAGGUCUCUAGCAGAGCUCUUGAUCUUCCCUUGGCAAAAUUCUUAAAGGAGAAGGAAAAGAAAUGGAAGAAGUGGAAUCAGAAGGAGGAGGAAGAGAAGAGAAGGAAGAGGAAUAAGGAUCAGCAGCAGCAGCAGAAGAAGGUAAGGAAGAGAGGAAGAAAGAAAGGAAGAAAGGAAGGAGAAGAGGAAGAAGAAUCUGCAGCAGCUGCUGCUAGAGGGAUGUAAGGCCUUUCCCUGGAGUUGGCCUUGACUAUCCAGAGAGAGUGUCUCACCACAGGAUUUUCUUAGUGGGAAAUCGCUGUAGGCUGGGAAAUGGUUCUAAAUUUUUGGAGUUCAAAUGUCAGUUUCCAGAGCUGAUCUAUUUCUGGAAGGUAGGUCUAAUGUUUUCUCCAAAUAUAAAGCAGAUAUAAAAACUAGGGAACCACUGUAUACAUUUAUAAUUAGAAAUAGAUCUAAAUAUUGGACCAGAGCCUCACAUUCUCUGAUCAGCCUAGUCCCUUCCACAACAAGGCCAUUUGGGAGAGCAGAUGAGUUAAGAGAAUGUGAACAUGGUUGCACAUCUUGACUGGGCCACUUACUGCUACUGACUUUGGUUAAAUUACUCAACCUGGGUUUACCCAUCUGUAAAGUGAAGAUACUAGUAAUUAUCUCUCAGGUUUGUUGUGCAGAAAAGGGUAAAUAAAUAUACUAAAGAGGUCCUUUGAUGAGCAUAGAAAAGGGAGAAAAAUUUGAUAAUGCGAAUGGCUAGUUUCAACUUCAGUAUCUAUUUCCCUGAUGGGGAUAUAUCUGACAUAGAACCGGAGAAUUGAAUCUGCUACAGCUGCAUUCAUUAAUUAGCAGUGAGUAAUUGAUGGGUAUUGCUAUUAUUACUAUGCCAGACAAAAUUAAGCACUGAGGAUACAGCAGAGCAAAGGCUCCUGUGUUCAUAGUGAGUACAGUAUGUUAGGGAAGUCAAACACUGAACCAUUUAGUCCAUGUUGUGAUAAGAAGAGAGUGAGGUGCCAUGGAGUAUAAAACCAGCAGCCCAGGAAAUCAGAGAAAGCUUCAAGGAGGAAGCAAGAUUUCAUAGAGAAUUGAAGGACAAGUAGGAGCUAGCUAGAUGAAAGAGAAAGGGGAAUGUGACUCAGGCAGAGGGAACCAUUUGUGCAAGGACUACAGGUGGGAAGAAACUGAGAGCUUUGGAGGUACUGGAAAAAGUCUAGAAGAGCUAUGGCUCAGAGAGUUACGAAGGGCAAUGAGUCUGCAAAAGAGCCCAGUCCGGCUGAUGUAAUGACUUAGAGGCGUGCUGAAAGAUUGCUGUCAUUAUUUCCAUAAAGACAAAGGGAGCCGUGAAAGACUUCCAAAGUGGAAAUUCAUUCUGUCUCCUUUCUCUGUUCUUUUCCUUUCUAUGUCAAUGAUACUCCUUCUAGCUGCUUUAUGGUGGGGACAUAUUCUGACCCUUAUCCUUACAGGUUGAUAUUUAUUCAUCAAAUUCUUGGGGUUCUGAAGAUGGCUUACUAUCUGUACCUAUCCACUGUAGAAACUGAGUUUAUUUACAGUGCUUCUUACCUUGUUUUCUUUUCAUAUUUAUGCUAUUAUUUUCUAGUCCUUGUGUACAACAUUGCAUAUGAUGUAAGACACUUGGCUUUGUUUUCCAAUAGCCUUGUGUAUUAAACAAAUUGACAUAUCAUUGUGUUACUUAUUACAAUUUUUAUAGAAGUAGAAAACACAGACGUAAUGUUUUGACACUCAAGUUUCGACUGUACUGGAUUUUUUUUCCUAGCAACGCUACCUUUCAUUUUGUCCAUUUCCCUUGAGAGAAAUUGUAACCAUUGGUUAAUGCCUCCCAUUGAUCAAGGACUUACUGCAUGGCUUCUGCACUUUUCUCAUAUCUCAUUUAAUUAUCACAGAACUUUGCAGGAGUAUAUUUCUAUUUUUGCUUACAUUUGUGGGACUGAGGCUCAGAGGUUGUGUAUCUUGUUCAAGGUCACACAGUGAAUAAACAACGAACACUUUUCCAAGUAGUCAGUUUCACCUUACCUGCUUCUUCCAACUUCAAAAAUAUCUAGAACCAUAAAUCAAAAAAAAAAAAAGUAUUCCUAGAUAGACUAAAAAAAUUGAUGUUUGAAAUUAUGGGCAUUGAAAAGCGUGAGAGGAAAAGUAUUCUACUCCUCAAA
rnacentral:lncRNA from 1 species